rnacentral:tRNA from 1 species
GCGAGUGUGGUGGAAUCGGUAUACACAGCAGACUUAAAAUCUGCCGGCGCAAGCCUUGCGGGUUCGAGUCCCGCCACUCGCACCA